rfam:Spizellomyces punctatus DAOM BR117 chromosome Tnknown supercont1.10, whole genome shotgun sequence.
GGCCGCGUGGCGCAAUGGACUAGCGUAUUGGACUUCGGAUCCAAAGGUUGCGGGUUCGAGUCCCGUCGUGGUCG